rnacentral:rRNA from 1 species
UACGUAGGGUGCAAGCGUUUGUCCGGAAUUAUUGGGCGUAAAGGGCUCGUAGGCGGUCCAUCGCGUCGGGAGUGAAAAGCUGGGGCUUAACCCCAGUCCUGCUUCCGAUACGGGUGGACUAGAGGUAGGUAGGGGAGAUCGGAACUCCUGGUGUAGCGGUGGAAUGCGCAGAUAUCAGGAAGAACACCGGUGGCGAAGGCGGCUCUCUGGGCCUUACCUGACGCUGAGGAGCGAAAGCGUGGGUAGCGAACAGG